rnacentral:lncRNA from 1 species
UGGGGGGGGGGGGGCUCUGGGGAAUCCUUAGGGACCCCUGCAGUGACUUCUCACCGGCAGUCUGAUUUCUCUUCCACAAAUUCAGAAAGAAGUUAGUUGUCCAAGGCAAAGCCAUGGCGAUGCUCACAGAAGCCAUUCCGACUCUGAAGGUCUGGUCCUGCCAGGUGUGGGCAAGCUGUGGUCUGUGGGUACAGGUCACUAACUUAAGCUUAUUCUCAAAGCACAGAUGCAAAUGGCUGGGAUUCGAGCCCUAGAAGCUGGGUGUCUCUGAAGCACAGGUAAAGACUGUUCCAAUCAGUAGCUUCUUGCCUCUUCUUCCAGAAUGUUCCAGUCAGAUGUCAAUCAUGCAUCUUAAUUUCCCACUGUACCUCAUUUAUAUUCUUUUGGGGUUUUGUUUAUUUAUUUUUUCUUCAUUUAGUGUUAGUUGGUGA